UACGUAGGGGGCUAGCGUUGUCCGGAAUCAUUGGGCGUAAAGAGCGUGUAGGCGGCCAGAAAAGUCCGCUGUGAAAACUCGAGGCUCAACCUCGAGACGUCGGCGGAAACCAUCUGGCUAGAGUCCGGAAGAGGAGAGUGGAAUUCCUGGUGUAGCGGUGAAAUGCGCAGAUAUCAGGAAGAACACCCGUGGCGAAGGCGGCUCUCUGGGACGGUACUGACGCUGAAGACGCGGAAAGCGUGGGGAGCGAACAGG
rnacentral:rRNA from 1 species